ACAACUGGAACCAAAACUGGACUUCCGCCAUUUCCCCCCUCUCACUCACCGUGAACAGACCAGCACGGCAGCGUUCAAGUCCUCCCAUAGAAAUAGUUCGGUUCUUGGGUGUUCUAACCAACACCAAAGUCUAUUCACUUUAACAAGGGAUCAACAAGUGAGGAUUUGUGGGUCACUUUUAUUUUUAACGGACCGGUGCCAGAAACACUGCCUCAGCAUUUAUACGUAUGUGCAUUUCAAACGAGGGUGCGUACAAUGCUGGAUUUGUUUCACGGCUCCUGUUGGAAAAAAAGGACCUAUUCCUAAAGUCCGUCAUCCACUCACUGAAGAGGGCAAAUCCCAGUUGCCCACAUGCAAGGAGGCUGUCAAACAGAGAAAUCACUGCAGACUGUUGGUACACGGACAUCUGCUGCCCAGCUCAGGAGUGAAGGUAUGUAAGUUUGUAUGUACCAACAGUAAGAUAGGUAAUAGAAGAUUUUAAUGGGUAUAUACUGUUUAGAUUUUAUAUCUGAAUUGUAACAACUGUUUAUCUGUUGUUUUAGCACAGACAGGCCUGUCCUCUUGUUUGGUUUAAUUUUUUGUCUGGUAUUGUGUGUUCUUACAUUAGAGAAGGUUUUGACCUACAUAAUAGUGAACAUUUCACUAAUCUACAAUUCUGAUUGCAGUACCUUUUGUUUUGAUGAGGUGAUGGUGAGGACAGCCACAGCUUCCAUCUGGUAGAGGACUGCUUCCGCUCAGUCUUCCAAAUAGUGAUGAGAACAAGGAUCACCACAUCUCCCUGUUUACCCUACUUUCAUGCAUUUCAUCUGCAAGGCCCUGCAAAAGCUUCUCCUUCGUCCUCAAACCCCCAGACUUCUUAAUUAACUCAGUAACCUAUACAUUGCACAUUGGAGUGUGAAGGUAACAGUUUGUUCUAGCUUUGGAGUAAUGGUGUAUUUUUUUGGUUUACAAUAAAGUUGGCUUUAACUAUUAUGUAUUUCA
rnacentral:lncRNA from 1 species